rnacentral:rRNA from 1 species
GCCAAGUCGUAAACAUCAAUCCACAACAACAAACGCCAGGGUAUUACGAGCCUAGCUUAAAACCCAAAGGACUUGACGGUGUCCCACCCAACUAGAGGAGCCUGUUUUAUAAUCGAUGAUCCACGCUACACCUAACCAUUUUUUGCCUUUCAGCCUGUAUACCUCCGUCGCAAGCCUACCAUAUUAAUGAAUUAUAGUAGACACAACAGCCUAAACACUAUAACGUCAGGUCAAGGUGCAGCUUAUAAAAUGGAAAACAAUGGGCUACAAUUUCUAAUAUAGAACAAACGAAUUGCUACAUGAAACAUAGUCAUGAAGGCGGAUUUAGCAGUAAACAGGGAAUAAAGAGCCCUAUUAAAUCUGACCCUGGGACGUGU